GAUGAACGCUGGCGGCGUGCCUAAUACAUGCAAGUAGAACGCUGAAGGAAGGAGCUUACUCUUUCCGGAUGAGUUGCGAACGGGUGAGUAACGCGUAGGUAACCUGCCUGGUAGCGGGGGAUAACUAUUGGAAACGAUAGCUAAUACCGCAUAACAGUAGAUGUUGCAUGAUAUCUACUUAAAAGGUGCAAUUGCACCACUACCAGAUGGACCUGCGUUGUAUUAGCUAGUUGGUGAGGUAACGGCUCACCAAGGCGACGAUACAUAGCCGACCUGAGAGGGUGAUCGGCCACACUGGGACUUGGACACGGCCCAGACUCCUAAGGGAAGCAGCAGGAGGGGAUCUUCGGAAAUGGACGGAAGUCUGAACGAGCAACGCCGCGUGAGUGAAGAAGGUUUUCGGAUCGUAAAGCUCUGUUGUAAGAGAAGAACGAGUGUGAGAGUGGAAAGUUCACACUGUGACGGUAUCUUACCGGAAAGGGACGGCUAACUACGUG
rnacentral:rRNA from 1 species